CGGCGUGCCUAAUACAUGCAAGUCGAGCGAAGCGGAACCAACAGAUUUUACGUUCGGUAAUGACGUUGGGAAAGCGAGCGGCGGAUGGGUGAGUAACACGUGGGGAACCUGCCCCUAAGUCUGGGAUACCAGUUUGGAAACAGGUGCUAAUACCGGAUAAUAAAGCAGAUCGCAUGAUCAGCUUUUGAAAGGCGGCGUAAGCUGUCGCUAAGGGAUGGCCCCGCGGUGCAUUAGCUAGUUGGUAAGGUAACGGCUUACCAAGGCGACGAUGCAUAGCCGAGUUGAGAGACUGAUCGGCCACAUUGGGACUGAGACACGGCCCAAACUCCUACGGGAGGCAGCAGUAGGGAAUCUUCCACAAUGGGCGCAAGCCUGAUGGAGCAACACCGCGUGAGUGAAGAAGGGUUUCGGCUCGUAAAGCUCUGUUGUUGGAGAAGAACGUGCGUGAGAGUAACUGUUCACGCAGUGACGGUAUCCAACCAGAAAGUCACGGCUAACUACGUG
rnacentral:rRNA from 1 species